rnacentral:hammerhead_ribozyme from 1 species
ACACUGCUGAGGAGUCCCACGGUUGGACGAGACGGCCGUCCAGUGU